GACGAACGCUGGCGGCGUGCUUAACACAUGCAAGUCGAACGGACAGGCCCUGCUUUUGUGGGGUGCUCGAGUGGCGAACGGGUGAGUAACACGCGUGUAACCUGCCCUUGUCUUUGGGAUAACUUCAGGAAACUGGGGCUAAUACCGGAUAGGAGCUCCUGCUCCAUGGUGGGGGUUGGAAAGUUUCGGCCGUUGGGGAUGGACUCGCGGCUUAUCCGCUUGUUGGUGAGGUAGUGGCUUACCAAGGCUUUGACGGGUAGCCGGCAUGAGAGGGGGACCGGGCACAAGGGGACUGAGAUACGGCGCAGACGCCUACGGGAGGCAGCAGUGGAGAAUAUUGCACAAUGGGCGGAAGCCUGAUGCAGCAACGCCGCGUGCGGGAUGACGGCCUUCGGGGUGUAAACCGCUUUCGCCGGUGACGAAGCGUGAGUGACGGUAAUGGGUAAAGAAGCACCGGCUAACUACGUG
rnacentral:rRNA from 1 species